rnacentral:misc_RNA from 1 species
GGUUAAAGAAACUGAUUGGCCAAUUGCAAGCAAAUCAAAUAGUUCAAAAACAGUAGUGUAUCUCAUUGAUCCCAAAAUGAAAAGGUCCCAUAUCCCAUGGGCAAACAAACAUCAAGCUAGAGAAGAUGUAAGGAUGUCAACAUUUACAAGAUCCAGAUCGAGUUCUCCCCCAAUUGAGACAUCUUUGAACUGCAAAGCAGAAACCUUGCAGUCUAUCAUCUAUUUAUUUGUUGUUGUCGUCGUCAUCAUCAUCAUCUAUCUAGUAACCUCCUUGUAUGAAGGCAUUCAACCGUUUCAGCUCUUCCCUGUGCUCACCCACAACAGCACGGACAACAUCUCCAAUGGACACCAUCCCUAUCAUACCUGUCUGAUCGAUAACUGGAAUGUGCCUGAUUCGAUUAUCUGUCAUCAGUUGCAUUGCUUUCAGAACUUUGGUUUCAGGUGUGACAGUGAUAAGCUUGUUCUCCUCCGUCAUGAUGUCCCCGACCUUUGUUGAUUUGGAUGAUCUUCCCUGAACUAUGAUUUUCCGAAGAUAAUCCCUCUCUGUAAUAAUGCCAGCAAUAGACUUAUUUUCCCCAGAUUUGACAACAACCAAGGCUCCUACAUUGUGCUGUGUCAUCGAUUUGACAGCAUCAUAA